AAUAACAAAUGGAGGCUAAAAAAUACAUCUAUUUAAAGCUCAGGGUUUUAGCUAUGUUUAGAGAUAGAUACUUAGAUACAUGCUUUUCGGUAUUUUUGAGGACGAAUGGAUUCUUUGAAGUGCCUAUUAACGGUGAAAUUGGUACACAUGAAUAAAGCGAAAUACAGAAUCUAUUUAGAAAUUAAAGAAACCAAAAGACUAACAUCGUUGGGCACCCUCUGUCUCUUUGAUAUGUGAUUCCUUCCUAUGGCUGCAGCACAAUUUGUCAUGUUUUAGUUUUAAGUUAUUUUAAUUUUACUCUUGUGGCAUCAUUGCAGAAUUGUUUCAACAAAAUAUUUGUUCAAGGGUGCUAGCAGAAAUGCUCCUUUUAAAUGAGAACAUAUCGGGCAGCACAACAAGACUACAACAAAGCGUCAAACUGGAUUAUUCAGCUAAUGUCAAAGUCAGGAACGAAACAAGAAGGGGGGCUUGCUGAAACUCAAUUUCAUGAGCUCGGAUCAACAAUUCUGGAUUUAAUAACUUCUCAUGUCAUGCCAUGGUUUACUAGUGAGGCUGCUCAAGGAGAUUCAAUGUGAAAAUAUGAAAGAUGUUAUCGAGGAAGAUGAGGAUGAAGAAGAUUGAAAUGACAAGGGUGAAGAGGAGAUGAUGGAAAAGAAUGUGAGAUUUACUUAUCAAAAAAAAAAAUUUACUUAUAAAAAAAAACAUUUACUUAUCCAAAAAAAAAAAAGAAUGUGAGAUUUUUUGCCUGCUUUUACAAAGUGAUUCGACUUUUUCCUGUUAAUCAAUGCCAUGUUAUUCCAA